AGUGAACGCUGGCGGUAGGCCUAACACAUGCAAGUCGAACGGCAGCACAGUAAGAGCUUGCUCGUACGGGUGGCGAGUGGCGGACGGGUGAGGAAUACAUCGGAAUCUACUUUUUCGUGGGGGAUAACGUAGGGAAACUUACGCUAAUACCGCAUACGACCUACGGGUGAAAGCAGGGGAUCUUCGGACCUUGCGCGAGUGAAUGAGCCGAUGUCGGAUUAGCAAGUUGGCGGGGUAAAGGCCCACCGAGGCGACGAUCCGUAGCUGGUCUGAGGGGAUGAUCAGCCACACUGGAACUGAGACACGGUCCAGACUCCUACGGGAGGCAGCAGUGGGGAAUAUUGGACAAUGGGGGCAAGCCUGAUCCAGCCAUACCGCGUGGGUGAAGAAGGCCUUCGGGUUGUAAAGCCCUUUUGUUGGGAAAGAAAAGCAGCAGGUUAAUACCCCGCUGUUCUGACGGUACCCAAAGAAUAAGCACCGGCUAACUUCGUG
rnacentral:rRNA from 1 species